UUUUUCUUUUUCCAUCACAUCAUUGUUUUUAGUUUAUCGCAUUUUUUUUAUAGGUACAUAGUCAUAGUUUUAAUUAUUUUAAUUUCAACUACUUUUCGUAGUUGUUUCCUCGCCUACCCUGCCGGGUUGUUCUUUUUUGGCGGAUUUUUUCGUUUUCAAAGCUAGCUUGUUUCCAUCUUUCCAAUUCAUUAUUUAAUUGUUUUGCGCAAUUCGCUGCAUGUCAGUAUGGAUCUGAAAAAAAUGUGGGUAAGAAAGGAGGAAGGAGGAAGGAGGAAGGGGGAGAAGGAAGCCUUGAGUGGGACGGGUAAAGUUCGUUGUGGGGGGUUGUUAGUGUGGAAGGAUGAGUAAGCGUAUAACCUUUGAAACAGAUGAAAUACCUAAGAGAAAAAUAGCGUGAAGUAAAGGGCUAUGUGUUGUCAAAACAUAGCGAAACGUAGUGAAUAAUGUUAAAGAGAAUGGUUUU